rnacentral:misc_RNA from 1 species
CCAAUAGCGUAUAUUAAAGUUGUUGCAGUUAAAAAGCUCGUAGUUGAAUUUCGGGAUUGGCGCAUCGGUCGUGCCUCACGGGGUAUGAACUGGUGCAGUCAAUUUCUCACCUUCUGGAGAACCGCGAUGUCCUUAAUUGGGUGCCGCGGGGAACCAGGACCUUUACUUUGAAAAAAUUAGAGUGUUUAAAGCAGGCAUUUUUGCUUGAAUACAUUAGCAUGGAAUAAUAAAAUAGGACGGUAUGGUUCUAUUUUGUUGGUUUCUAGGACCACCGUAAUGAUUAAUAGGGAUAGUUGGGGGCAUUAGUAUUCAAUUGUCAGAGGUGAAAUUCUUGGAUUUAUUGAAGACUAACUACUGCGAAAGCAUUUGCCAAGGAUGUUUUCAUUAAUCAAGAACGAAAGUUAGGGGAUCGAAGACGAUCAGAUACCGUCGUAGUCUUAACCAUAAACUAUGCCGACUAGGAAUCAGACGAUGUUAAUUUUUUAAUGACUCGUUUGGCACCUUACG